CACACCUGAACUGAAGGACAUAUCCUGGUCAAAAAUUACUCCAAAAUUACUUUCCUGCAACCAGGAAAGAAAUUACUAGUCAGGGAGACGUGGCUAGUCGUUGCUCCAUUAUUUAUUCCAAUUCAAACUUAUGCAGUCUUUUGUUACUUUAUAGUAUUACAACUGUGUAUUUACUUUUUCCAAACAUGGCGGCGGCGGCGGUGACGACGAGGAGUUAUUUGUCACUUGCAGUUGCCUGCAGCAAAAUUGGACCCCUUCCGACCAUACAUACAUUACACAAACAUCACAUUGGGGAGACAGGUCAGAACAGGGAGCUUACAGAAAAACAGUGAAAUGUGCAACACAAUAGGGGAGUGGAGGAUGAAGAAAGAGAACUCUACUCAGACUGAGCUCCUGGUAGGGGAUCAGUAUGAGAACAGAAAACAAAAAUUCCUCAGCACAAAAAGCACAUGAAUCUUCACACUGUAACACCAUGAAAACACAUGACAAGCAACAGGGGUGGGUAAAUGGGGUGAGAGUUCGCCGGUGUAGACAGCAGCAUAAUUCCACGCUGGCCCAAUCAAUCGCCGUCUGCAUUGGGUGGGUGCAACCAUCGGAGGAGUUUGGAGGGGGAUGAUACCCCCCUAUUGAUGAGACGGGGGAUGGAUGCCUCACAGCCCUCCGCCUGUGGGAGUGGCCCUUUCUACUAAGGAGGCAAGAGGUGGCCAGGAGUCUGUCAGCGAGUUCUGCAUGUCCUGGUGACCCUCCACCUGUUUCACAGGUCGUUGGACUGUGGCAGGAAGCCGGAGUACAAGGAGACAACCCACGCAAAACCGGGGAGAACAUGCCAACUCCACACAGAACGAUGGUAGAGCUGAACUCAGGACCUUCUUCCGGUUGGGUAACGGUGCUAACCAGUGUGCUGCCCUUGUAAGAGGAGCGCCACUGAGGGAACGCCUUCCGCCCCCUGACGUCUCCGCCACUAUUGUAAACACCCACCCUUCCACAUUGUCCGGGGAACGCUGGCUGUUUAUAUUUCGAGAGACAGUUAUUUUUUUGAUAGUUUUAGCAACUCCCGAGACAG